rnacentral:rRNA from 1 species
AGUGAACGCUGGCGGCAAGCCUAAUACAUGCAAGUCGAACGGCAGCACAGCUUAAGCUUGCUUAAGUGGGUGGCGAGUGGCGGACGGGUGAGGAAUACGUGGGAAUCUGCCCAGUCGUGGGGGAUAACGUAGGGAAACUUACGCUAAUACCGCAUGCGCCCUUUGGGGGAAAGCCGGGGAUCUUCGGACCUGGCGCGAUUGGAUGAGCCCACGUCGGAUUAGCUAGUUGGAGGGGUAAAGGCCCACCAAGGCGACGAUCCGUAGUUGGUCUGAGAGGAUGAUCAGCCACACUGGAACUGAGACACGGUCCAGACUCCUACGGGAGGCAGCAGUAGGGAAUAUUGGACAAUGGGCGCAAGCCUGAUCCAGCCAUGCCGCGUGAGUGAAGAAGGCCCUCGGGUUGUAAAGCUCUUUUGUUGGGGAAGAAAAGCCUUGGGUUAAUACCCUGAGGUUCUGACGGUACCCAAAGAAUAAGCACCGGCUAACUUCGUGCCAGCCGCCGCUGUAA